rnacentral:tRNA from 1 species
GCCUGGGGGGCUCAGUCGGUUGGGCGUCUGACUUUGGCUCAGGUCAUGAUCUCGCGGUCUGUGGGUUCGAGCCCCACGUCGGGCU